GAUGAACGCUGGCGGCGUGCUUAAUGCAUGCAAGUCGAACGAGAACCUUUUUGUAGGUAACUACAGAGAGACUUCUAGUGGCGAACGGGUGAGUAACACGUGAGAAACCUGCCCCGAAGACCGGGAUAGCCCAUAGAAACGUGGAUUAAUACCGGAUACCCUCACGGAAUCGCAUGGUUCUGUGAGGAAAUGCUCCGGCGCUUUGGGAUGGUCUCGCGGCCUAUCAGCUUGUUGGUGAGGUAACGGCUCACCAAGGCACUGACGGGUAGCUGGUCUGAGAGGACGAUCAGCCACACUGGGACUGAGACACGGCCCAGACUCCUACGGGAGGCAGCAGCAGGGAAUAUUGCACAAUGGGCGCAAGCCUGAUGCAGCGACGCCGCGUGAGGGAUGAAGGCUUUCGGGUUGUAAACCUCUUUCAGUGGGGAAGAAGCGCAAGUGACGGUACCCACACAAGAAGGCCCGGCCAACUACGUG
rnacentral:rRNA from 1 species